rnacentral:rRNA from 1 species
AUUGAACGCUGGCGGCAGGCCUAACACAUGCAAGUCGAGCGAGCGGCGGACGGGUGAGUAAUGUCUGGGACACUGCCUGAUGGAGGGGGAUCACUAAUGGAAACGGUAGCUAAUACCGCAUACCAUCAGAUGUGCCCAGAGGGGAUUAGCUAGUAGGUUGGGGAACGCCUCACCUAGGCGACGAUCCCUAGCUGGUCUGAGAGGUUGACCGGCCACACUGGAACUUAGACACGGUCCAGACUCCUACGGGAGGCAGCAGUGGGGAAUAGUGCACAAGGGGCUCAAGCCUGAUGCAGCAAAGCCGCGUGUGGGAAGAAGGCCUGCGGGUUGUAAAGCACUUUCAGCGGGGAGGCGUUGCCCGCAGAAGAAGCACCGGCUAACUCCGUGCCAGCAGCCGCGGUAAUAC